UCCAGCUCGCCGAACAGGACGGUCGCCCAGCAAAUAAUAGCAGUAAGCAGGGGUAAGUGCACACCAUAGAAAUAGGUAUUCCGCAGCCAUUGCGCAGAAAAGGCAUCACACUUCGGUGUGAUGCCAGUGCUCGCAAUGACUCUGCCGUAGAAGUGUAGUGCAUACCGUAGAAGUAGGUAUUCCGCAGGCAUUGCGCAGAAAAGGCGUCACACUUCGGUGUGAUGCCAGUGCUCGCAAUGACUGCCUAUACCGUAGAGGGUACUUCGCAGGCAUUGCGCAGAAAAGGCGUCACACUUCGGUGUGAUGCCAGUGCUCGCAAUGACUCUGCCGUAGAAGUGUAGUGCAUACCGUAGAAGUAGGUAUUCCGCAGGCAUUGCGCAGAAAAGGCGUCACACUUCGGUGUGAUGCCAGUGCUCGCAAUGACUCUGCCGUAGAAGUGUAGUGCAUACCGUAGAAGUAGGUAUUCCGCUGGCAUUGCGCAGAAAAGGCAUCACACUUCGGUGUGAUGCCAGUGCUCCCAAUGACUGCCAUAGAGUGGGGUACUUCGCAGGCAUUGCGCAGAAAAGGCAUCACAUUUCAGUGUGGUGCCAGUGCUCGCAAUGACUCUGCCGUAGAAGUGUAGUGCAUACCGUAGAAGCAUUGCGCAGAAAAGGCAUCACGCUUCGGUGUGGUGCCAGUGCUCGCAAUGAUUGAAUACUCUCCUCACUGAAAACGCGGCAGUAUUCUCGACGAUCACCGGCCCCAGCACAGUCACCGAACACAUAAUUCGCCUUAAACACGACCGGCCAUUAAAGCAGAGGUAUUAUCCACGCAACCCAGCGAUGCAAGAAGUAAUCAAUCAAGAGGUGAACGAAUUGAUUGCAACCGGCCGCAUCGAAGCACGUUCUCAUAGCACGUUCACAUAUAAGCAGGUUAUGGUUAACAAAAAUUAACCUCGAAGCUAACCUUGUUGCGUUCACAUAUACACACAAUAAAUAUCUAGCUGCAUUAAAUUCCUGUAGCCGAGAAUAUAAAGUUGCUAUCCAACAAAGUGAGCAGGAAUUACGGAUACGAAGAGCUCGAGUAAUAUCGAUUUAUUAUGAAAUAUUAAUGUUGACAACAAUACCUCUUUGUAAGGAAAUAAACCCAAGAAGUAUUUGGGCAUACAAGCGACAUGGGAACUUCUGGGAAAAGGAUGUUCCAUCAAUGAACGACCGCGUUUUUAAGGAAACCUUUCGCAUGAGCAGGGCAACCUUUGAAAUAUUGUGUGAAUAUGUCAAAGGUAUUACCAAACAGGAUUCAUGCUAUAGGAAGUGCAUCCCAUUGCAGAAAAUGGUAGCUGUUGCCGUCUACACAUUAAAAUCUUCGGCGGAGUAUGAAACUGUUGCACGACUAUUCGGUGUUUCGAAAGCAAUCGUCAGCGAAAUAUUUCUUGCUUUUUGCCAAGAAGUGUGGCAAUCAUUGCGUCCCAUUUAUUUGACAGAACAAUUAAGGAACAGUGAAAACGUGGAUGAGUGUGUUCAUGGGUUUGAGAAGCUUGGCUUUCCGCAAUGUCUUGGUGCCAUAGACGGUUGCCACAUUAAAGUUCGGCCAAGGAUUGGAUUGCACGGCCUAUUACAAUUCUAAGGGGUGGUACUCCACAGUUUUAUUUGCCCUUGUAGAUUAUAGAUAUCGCUUCCUCUACAUUAAUGUUGGCUGCCCAGGUCGAUGCAAUGACUCAAAAAUUUUUCAAUGUAGCAAACUAAAUACUGCAUUGAAGGACCCAAUCUUCACUGCAAAAAGCAAAACUAUUAAUGGCGUGUAUGUUCCUGUGGGCGUUAUGGGUGAUUCGGCUUUCCGAUUUGCCAACAAUCUAAUGAAGCCCUAUCCAUUCCAAGUACAUCCUCCAGAGCAUGAAAAAAUUUUUAAUUACCAAUUGUCCAAAUGCCGAAGAGUGGUGGAAAAUGCGUUUGAACACCUAAAGGCUCGUUUUAGGAGAAUAGGAAAAGGAGUCGACAACCACAUCAAAAAUGUUCCUCUUAUAAUUAAAGCAGCCUGUACAUUGCAUAACUUUUUAAAUUGUCAUAAUGAUGUCAUCAAUCACAAAUGGAUAGAAGAACAAACCACUUACGAAAGUAAUGUACGCCUGGAACAGCCCGAGCAGCAACAGAUGCUGUAGCAGAUUUUGAAGCAGAACCUGAAACAAUUAGAAGAGCGAUUGCGAAUUCAUUUUACUCCGGAGUCGUCGAAAGUCCUGCAAGCUCAUCGCUUGAAAUGAAUUGGGAUUGGCUGCUCGUCGAAGGGUAGAUAGCAGCGCAACCAAUGUUGUCUUCUGGUUCCACAUCUUGAAUUAAAAUAAAAUAAUAAAUAAAAGAGCAAACAAAAGUUUCAUUUUUAUAUUACCUAUACUCUCUUGCAUGAGUUCUUUGAAAUUUACUGCCUUAUUACCACUGAGUAUUUCUUCCACCUCCUUGUUGUGGAUCCAAGAGGAAGGCGAACCACCAGUCAUACCCACCGCAUUCUUUUCUAAUCUAUAAAAUAAAAUACAUAUUAUAAUGCUGUGAGUAUGCAGCAAAAUAUACUUUUUUAAUUUUAAAUGUACUUACUUGUAUCGAUUGGUAAAAAUAUGCACUUUUUCCUUUAUUUCAGCUGCACUGUAGUUCAUCUGCCUUUUUGAAAAUUCCUUUUCCAAACGCGCAAAGAUAUGAACAUUCUUUUUCGCGCUUCGUAAUUCUUCUAUACUAUCUGCCCAGUGCAAUAGCAGCAAUUUCUCUGCAUCUACUGUCCAUCUGGCACGGUUUUUCCUUUUCUUAAUUACAAUUUAAUAAAAUUAUUAUAUAUAAGUAUAUUUGAAUGCAUAAAAAAUAAAAAUAUAUAAAUUAAAAUUUAUA